UACGGGGGGGGGCAAGCGUUGUUCGGAGUUACUGGGCGUAAAGGGCGCGUAGGCGGCCCUUCAAGUCGGGUGUGAAAGCCCAGGGCUCAACCCUGGAAUAGCACUCGAGACUGAAAGAGCUUGAGGAUGGGAGAGGAUGGUGGAAUUCCCAGUGUAGAGGUGAAAUUCGUAGAUAUUGGGAAGAACACCGGUGGCGAAGGCGGCCAUCUGGACCAUUUCUGACGCUGAGGCGCGAAAGCGUGGGGAGCAAACAGG
rnacentral:rRNA from 1 species